AUUUAGUUUUGCUCUGACUAUAAUUAAUAGUAUAUCUAAUUUAACGACAUGCAAAAUUUAUUCAUCCAAUGAGAAAUUACGCUAAAAGCAUUAUUUUUUUGUAUAAGAUACCAAAAAUACAAACUCUCAUAAGCAGUGUCUGAUAUUUUAAUAAUAGUGAAAGCUAGAUAAAGAAAAGAAAAGAUAGGUGGAUAAAUAUGUGCCAGCAUCCGCGGUUACACAUAUACCUAAACUAUUAAUUUAAGGUAAAUGGUAAUUAUAUUAACUAAAAGAAUAAUAUCUUUGGUCUAAUGAUAAUAAUACUACUAUACUUUUUUACUAAUAAACCAUGAAACUCUCAAAUAGAACUAGGAUUAGAAACCCUACUACUAAUUAAAUUAAAUAAAAUACCAGGGUAUUACGAGAUAUAAUCUUAAAACCUAAAGAGCUUGGCGGUCUUUUAUUACAUCAGGGGAGCUUGUCAUAUAAACGAUGAUCCACGAUAAAAUUUACCUAUAUAAUAAUAUAGUUUGUAUACCUCCGUUUAGUCAAUCUUUCAAAGAAUUGGCAAUAGAAUCAAAUUCAUAACCUCAGGUCAAGGUGCAACUAAUAUAUAGGAAUAGAUGAGCUACUAUAUAUAUAAUUGAAAUUAAAAUCAAAAGAAUUUAAAGAAAAAGUACUUGAUAGUAAUCUUUUUUUAAAAUAAUAAGAUGAAUGUAACCUAAAAGAUGCACAAAUCGCCCGUCACUCCUGUUAAAGAAAUUGGAAAAGUCGUAACAUAGUAGGUGUACUUGAAAGUGUGCCU
rnacentral:ncRNA from 1 species